rnacentral:rRNA from 1 species
GACGAACGCUGGCGGCGUACUUAACACAUGCAAGUCGAACGGUGAAGCGCCUUCCUUUUUGGUGGGUGUGGAUGAGUGGCGAACGGGUGAGUAACACGUGAGUAACCUGCCCCCUUCUUCUGGAUAACCGCAUGAAAGUGUGGCUAAUACGGGAUAUUCUGGGUCUGUCGCAUGAUGGGUCUGGGAAAGAUAUUGUUUCGGUGGGGGAUGGGCUCGCGGCCUAUCAGCUUGUUGGUGGGGUGAUGGCCUACCAAGGCGGUGACGGGUAGCCGGCCUGAGAGGGUGGACGGUCACACUGGGACUGAGACACGGCCCAGACUCCUACGGGAGGCAGCAGUGGGGAAUAUUGCACAAUGGGCGCAAGCCUGAUGCAGCGACGCCGCGUGAGGGAUGGAGGCCUUCGGGUUGUGAACCUCUUUCGCCAGUGAAGCAGGCCUGCCUCGUUUGUGGGUGGGUUGACGGUAGCUGGAUAAGAAGCGCCGGCUAACUACGUG